rnacentral:rRNA from 1 species
UGAACGCUGGCGGCGUGCCUAAUACAUGCAAGUCGAGCGAACAGACGAGGAGCUUGCUCCUCUGACGUUAGCGGCGGACGGGUGAGUAACACGUGGAUAACCUACCUAUAAGACUGGGAUAACUUCGGGAAACCGGAGCUAAUACCGGAUAAUAUAUUGAACCGCAUGGUUCAAUAGUGAAAGACGGUUUUGCUGUCACUUAUAGAUGGAUCCGCGCCGCAUUAGCUAGUUGGUAAAGUAACGGCUUACCAAGGCGACGAUGCGUAGCCGACCUGAGAGGGUGAUCGGCCACACUGGAACUGAGACACGGUCCAGACUCCUACGGGAGGCAGCAGUAGGGAAUCUUCCGCAAUGGGCGAAAGCCUGACGGAGCAACGCCGCGUGAGUGAUGAAGGUCUUCGGAUCGUAAAACUCUGUUAUUAGGGAAGAACAAAUGUGUAAGUAACUAUGCACGUCUUGACGGUACCUAAUCAGAAAGCCACGGCUAACUACGUG